CGUUCUAUGUUGCCAGCACGUGAUGGUGGGAGCUCAUAGGAGACUGCCGGGGUCAACUCGGAGGAAGGUGGGGAUGACGUCAAAUCAUCAUGCCCUUUAUGUCUUGGGCUUCACGCAUGCUACAAUGGCUGGUACAGAGAGAGGCGAACCCGUGAGGGCAAGCGAAUCCCUUAAAGCCAGUCUCAGUUCGGAUCGUAGUCUGCAAUUCGACUACGUGAAGUCGGAGUCGCUAGUAAUCGCAGAUCAGCAACGCUGCGGUGAAUACGUUCCCGGGCCUU
rnacentral:rRNA from 1 species